GAUGAAGAACGUAGCGAAAUGCGAUAAGUAAUGUGAAUUGCAGAAUUCAGUGAAUCAUCGAAUCUUCGAACGCACAUUGCGCCCGCCAGUAUUCUGGCGGGCAUGCCUGUUCGAGCGUCAUUACAACCCUCAGGCCCCCGGGCCUGGCGUUGGGGAUCGGCGGAAGCCCCCUGUGGGCACACGCCGUCCCUCAAAUACAGUGGCGGUCCCGCCGCAGCUUCCAUUGCGUAGUAGCUAACACCUCGCAACUGGAGAGCGGCGCGGCCAUGCCGUAAAACACCCAACUUCUGAAUGUUGACCUCGAAUCAGGUAGGAAUACCCGCUGAACUUAAGCAUAUCAAUAAGCGGAGGA
rnacentral:misc_RNA from 1 species